rnacentral:rRNA from 1 species
UACGUAGGGUGCAAGCGUUAAUCGGAAUUACUGGGCGUAAAGUGUGCGCAGGCGGCCGCGCAAGUCGAGUGUGAAAGCCCCGAGCUUAACUUGGGAAUUGCGCUCGAAACUACGUGGCUGGAGUGUGGCAGAGGAAGGUGGAAUUCCAGGUGUAGCGGUGAAAUGCGUAGAGAUCUGGAGGAACACCGGUGGCGAAGGCGGAUCUCUGGGCCUGUCCUGACGCUGAGGCGCGAAAGCUAGGGGAGCGAACAGG